rnacentral:misc_RNA from 1 species
UCUCCGUUGGUGAACCAGCGGAGGGAUCAUUACUGAAGUUACCCUUCAAAACCCAUUGUGAACCAUACCUCUUGCCGCGUUGUCUCGGCGGGAGGCGCUGGGGCCUCGGCUCCGCGUCCCCGCCGGCAGCGCCAAACUCUAAACUGCAAAGCGUACUGCAUGUUCUGAUUUACAAAAAAAACAAGUUAAAACUUUCAACAACGGAUCUCUUGGUUCUG